rnacentral:tRNA from 1 species
GAGAAUAGCUCGGUCAGUUGAGCAUGGCGCUGACAACGCCAAGGUCGUGGGUUCGGUCCCCGUGUGUUCCCU